rnacentral:siRNA from 1 species
GCAGCGGCAAAGUACUUAUCUA